rnacentral:lncRNA from 1 species
GAGAACAAAGGAAGGAGGAAGUAACUGGUGGAAUGCUGAGAAAGCAUUUCAGUGUGCGGCAUCAUCAUGCAAGCUCUGUAAGAGGAGAGUAAGAUCAGUACUCCUACUUGUAAAUGAAAGAGAAGAAAACAAAAACAAGCAAAUUCCUUCUAAGGUGUGAGGAACACGAGUAAACAGAGAAAUCACCUAAGGAGAAAACAGGAAGCAGAUUUGAAACUGUGGCCACCAACGACACGAGGGAGCGCAAAACCCAGCCCACUUGCCAGGGAGGCUGGCAGAGCCCACACCCAGUCUGGUGCCCUGGUCGGUUACAUUCUGCUCUCCCUGCAGCAUUUUUAGAAGGUACCAAAUAAGAAAAACGUGGAUGAAGAUGGAGAAAGCAUACAAAACUUUUACACACUGGUUUGAAGCUGUCACCGCGCGGAACAUAAAGAACAGGCCAAGACCAGUGCAGGCAUCGACGACUUUCUCCAUUCAGAGCCUCCGCG